UACGAAGGGGGCUAGCGUUGCUCGGAAUCACUGGGCGUAAAGGGUGCGUAGGCGGGUCUUUUAAGUCAGGGUGAAAUCCUGGAGCUCAACUCCAGAACUGCCUUUGAUACUGAGGAUCUUGAGUCCGGGAGAGGUGAGUGGAACUGCGAGUGUAGAGGUGAAAUUCGUAGAUAUUCGCAAGAACACCAGUGGCGAAGGCGGCUCACUGGCCCGGUACUGACGCUGAGGCACGAAAGCGUGGGGAGCAAACAGG
rnacentral:rRNA from 1 species